UACAGAGGUGGCAAGCGUUGUUCGGAAUUAUUGGCGUAAAGGGCGCGUAGGCGGUGCUAUAAGUCUGUGGUGAAAUCUCUGGCUCAACUCAGAGUCUGCCAUAGAAACUGUAGUGCUAGAGUGUGGGAGAGGUGAGUGGAAUUCCGGUGUAGCGGUGAAAUGCGUAGAUAUCGGGAGGAACACCUGUGGCGAAAGCGGCUCACUGGACCACAAC
rnacentral:rRNA from 1 species